rnacentral:rRNA from 1 species
AACGAACGCUGGCGGCACGUUUUAAGCAUGCAAGUCGAAUGGCAGUGGGGGCAACCCCAUGAGAAUGGCGAACGGGUGAGUAACACGUAGGUGAACUGCCUGACGGAUGGGGAUAGCUUGUGGAAACACAGGGUAAUACCGAAUGAGCUGACGAGACUUUGGUUUUGUUAGUAAAGGUGCUACGGCACCGCCGACAGAGGAGCCUGCGGCUGAUUAGCUAGUUGGUGGGGUAAAGGCCUACCAAGGCGACGAGCAGUAGCCGGCCUGAGAGGGUGUACGGCCACACUGGAACUGAGACACGGUCCAGACUCCUUCGGGAGGCAGCAGCUAAGAAUCUUCCGCAAUGGGCGAAAGCCUGACGGAGUGAUGCCGCGUGAUCGAUGAAGGUCGAGAGAUUGUAAAGAUCUUUUCUACAUGAGGAAUAAGUCUGGGAGGGAAUGCCUGGAUGAUGACGUUAGUGUAGGAAUAAGCCCCGGCUAAUUACGUGCCAGCAGCCGCCGUAA